UGAGGAAUAUUGGUCAAUGGACGGAAGUCUGAACCAGCCAAGUCGCGUGAAGGAAGACGGCCUUAUGGGUUGUAAACUUCUUUUAUUUGGGAAUAAAGUUUGCCACGUGUGGUAAUUUGUAUGUACCGAAUGAAUAAGCAUCGGCUAACUCCGUGCCAGCAGCCGCGGUAAUACGGAGGAUGCGAGCGUUAUCCGGAUUUAUUGGGUUUAAAGGGUGUGUAGGCGGUUUAUCAAGUCAGUGGUGAAAGUUUGGGGCUUAACCUCGAAAUUGCCAUUGAAACUGAUAGACUUGAGUACAGUGGAGGUAGGCGGAAUUCGUAGUGUAGCGGUGAAAUGCUUAGAUAUUACGAAGAACUCCGAUUGCGAAGGCAGCUUACUAUACUGUUACUGACGCUGAGACACGAAGGCGUGGGUAUCAAACA
rnacentral:rRNA from 1 species